UGCAGGCUAGGUGAGUGACGUCACUGUGACGUCAAAGAAUGCACUCUGGGGCAGGUUUUGGACUGUAGUUCGAGUGUUGGUAAACAAACCCCCCAGGCGUCCAGGACCAUCCCCGCAGACACGGGCUCACCAAAGAAAGGAGAAUGGAUGGAUUUGCAAAUAAAAAGUUCAGGCACAGGUGUUACAAGUGCCACCAUUUUCAUAAUGAUGUUGAAAGGAACGGUCAGCGGUGUAGGACCUGUGGCACACCGAUCCAGAACCAACGUGGCGCUCCAUACCAACAUGCCAGAAAGCCUGCAACGUCUGUGUGUGAUGCUAAAAAGGGUGGUGCACUAAAACUGAGGUGUGCAAACUGUCACGUGGAGGGAGUUCCCACCUGGCAUGAGGACUGUACCUCACUCCCGCCGAGACGGGCUGCCCGGGGUACACCAGCUGGGGGCGCCAGUAACCACCCUGGCUCAUCUGCUCUGCCCCCACCGGACACUCCGUCACACUCUCCUGCCUUACCCAACCACUCCAACGCCACGGCUAGUAGUAGCUCGAGUGACACAGUUGUAGUCCCUACCAAUUCAUGUUGGUCGGGGGGCCCGGAUCAGGCACAGAAAAUUAGUGAGCUUAUGAAUACAGUAGAAAAACAGAGCAAAACUGAGGAAAAGCUGACAAGCAGAUAACCGAACAAAAUAAGGAAAUCAUGCCCCAAAAGACGAUGAUAACCACUCUUCAGGACACUGAGAAUAUUAACUGAGUGCAGGCUACACCAACCUGGGGUACCACCAUGUGCUCCCAUGCGGCCAGUACCCCAGGGGAGACUUCAGCAGGGGGUGUCCCAGCCCUCACACCAGCUGGGCUCCCCCACCACGGCUCCCCACACCCCAGCCUCAUCAACGCCGUGUGCUAUGAACAGAGGUAAACUAUUCCACGUAGAAACGCAUAGUGCUGUCGAUGAGCAGGUAAAACCCCGCAGAAUUUGCCUAGUUAUCAGUGUUAUAAUCCCAGAUCAAAAAAUACGUGUCUCAUGUAUGUUAAAAAAUCCCUGCCACAUGAGCCACUUCCCGCUCAACAACGAGAGGAGUUUCAAUAUCAUGGUAUCCGGGUACACGUUGGUAACUCUACACUUAAUGUUUUGAAUGCUUAUGCACCUACUGGCCUCCUCCAGUAUACUGACCUACCUAGUUUUGCACAUACUGAUUGUA